AGCGAGCUUGCCUAGAUGAGUUUGGUGCUUGCCCAGAUGAAACUAGAUACAAGCGAGCGGCGGACGGGUGAGUAACACGUGGGUAACCUGCCCAAGAGACUGGGAUAACACCUGGAAACAGAUGCUAAUACCGGAUAACAACACUAGACGCAUGUCUAGAGUUUAAAAGAUGGUUCUGCUAUCACUCUUGGAUGGACCUGCGGUGCAUUAGCUAGUUGGUAAGGUAACGGCUUACCAAGGCAAUGAUGCAUAGCCGAGUUGAGAGACUGAUCGGCCACAUUGGGACUGAGACACGGCCCAAACUCCUACGGGAGGCAGCAGUAGGGAAUCUUCCACAAUGGACGCAAGUCAGAUGGAGCAACGCCGCGUGAGUGGAGAAGGGUUUCGGCUCGUAAAGCUCUGUUGGUAGUGAAGAAAGAUAGAGGUAGUAACUGGCCUUUAUUUGACGGUAAUUACUUAGAAAGUCACGGCUAACUACGUGCCAGCAGUCGCGGUAAUACGCAGGUGGCAAGCGUUGUCCGGAUUUAUUGGGCGUAAAGCGAGUGCAGGCGGUUCAAUAAGUCUGAUGUGAAAGCCUUCGGCUCAACCGGAGAAUUGCAUCAGAAACUGUUGAACUUGAGUGCAGAAGAGGAGAGUGGAACUCCAUGUGUAGCGGUGGAAUGCGUAGAUAUAUGGAAGAACACCAGUGGCGAAGGCGGCUCUCUGGU
rnacentral:rRNA from 1 species